AAACUUUCCAGGGAAUUGGAAAGCAACCCACAUCUGCAUCCCCUCUCUGUAAAUCAUUAGAAGACUCGAUCUGGUGGAGGAGAAGAAGAGUGGCCGACUGUCGGCGAAGCUGAGGGGAAGCGCGGCCAGCGGUCUUGAGGAGGAGGGGAAGCGCGGCCGGCAGUCGCGAGUCUUCGGCCAUGAAAAGGUUCUUCCAGCCAAUCCAGAAAGAUGGCUCCUCCAAGAAACCCACUCUCUCUGUUCAAUCCAACGACGGUGAUGGAAAAACUGAGGAGCAGAAGAACCAGAAAGAGCCAUUGAAGUUCUUGACAUGGAACGCCAAUAGCUUUCUUCUUCAAGUUAAAAACAAUUGGCUGGAGUUCACCAAGUGAGUUUAUCAAAGCUUGAUGCUGCAGGAGUUGGUCUUCAGUCUCAAUGUCAGAAAGUUUCUCUUCAAGGCUGAAAUAAGAUGCAAAUAGUUCAAACAAUAUAACCAAAAACAAACUUUGGGUAGGAUAUAUGCAUGUUCUGGCACCAGUUUGAGUUUCACAGGCUGAAAAAAGUAAAGCAGCCUUGCAAAAGGAGAAAAUAUCUCAAUGGUACAACCUAUGCAUAGCAGUCUUCAACUGAAUUAUCUUUGACUCUGCCUCCAAAGCCUGCUUCAACCGUUCUUCACUAAGCUUUAAGUAAAGCAUCAAACUUUUCAGCAAAAUUAAGGUAUCUCCAAAGAUGAGCUAAAGGGAAAGCUGUAUACAGCUGGCACUUCACUUGUUGAGAAUCCCACAUCGCCUCCACAAGGGAGACCUGGGCUAUAUAUAAGGAGGAGGAUCCCUCCAUCUAUUAAGCUAGCUUUUCAGGUUGGAGUUCUACCUCUAACUUCUCACAUCACUGUUAAGUGUGAGCUGGCUGCCAAACACAACAUUACCUAUAUGGACUCACAUCCUCUAAAAGCUUCAGAAGUCAAGAGGAAAGAAGUGAAAAACCAAAUGCAAAAGCUGGAAUAAUUGUGCAGGUAAAGCGAAGAAUGAGAAGGGUCCUAUCGAGACAGGAUCUGUUAGGUUAGAUAUGUACAAAGCUCACCCGAAUAAAAGGUCUUGGGGGCGUUUGUUGGUUUGAGACAUGCUAGUGGCUGUAUCUUUGUUAUUUUGGCUUGUUGCAUUCCCCUUGAGACAGCCUAACAGAAUGUAAUGUUAACACUUAUGUUGUUCUAUAUGAAAAGAAAAUAAUGGAUUCAUUGUUGUUUGUUGUUAGUAGUAUGGAUGAUCUUGAUUGAAUUUUACUCUGUUUCCAUCU